rnacentral:lncRNA from 1 species
GUGGAUCUUAAAGGAAGUUAUGCAUGGGAGAAUCGGUGGUUUUGAUCAGACCACUGCCUUGCCUUACAAAUGGCAAUCACGUCGGUUUUCGAAUUGCCACGAACACGAAGUGCUUUCUCUCUGCCCCUCCACUCAACCAGUGAGCUUUCGGUCACGAUAAAGCAAUUAAAAUGCUUUUGUUUAUAUAAUUCAUAUACAUAAAAUAAAAUGAGUUUAUCUUUAGCAAAAUCAUCGUAACUCCAGGUCAUGGAAGAAAAAUCCCUCGAUAUUCUCCCUGAAUGUGAUUGUUAAAAAAAAAAUAUACAGAAACUAAUUGGAGGAUAGCCAUGACCUCACGGGGCUAAGCUAAGGACUCGAUAAGCCAUAACCUCAUUAGGCUAAUGAUACCAAUCAACGAGCAAAGGAUUUAUUAUAUUUGUUAAUUGCAUCUAUUACAAGAUAAAAAUCUCAGAAGAUUAAAGAAGAUGGGUUAACUUGUUAAGCUACGAACUUUACGUGAUUUUGGCUCGGCAAUCUUUUUUUUUCCCCUGUUUCGUACGUGUACUAAAUAGUAAUUCAAAAUGAUGCACUGUGCAUCGUUGCUUUACAAGAUCAAGGACGAAUUCGAGGAUACAUACGGUUGGUAGGCGACGAGAAAAUUGUAAUUGGUAAAGGAAUUUAAGAUGGUUGGAAAUUGGAAAAGACUCUUGUUCUAGCCAGUAAGAAGCCGAUGGCUUCAUCUUUGAAUUUUCCUUUCUUUUCUUUUUUAAAGAUCAGAUACAGCUUUGAAAAAGAGUUCUUCUUUCCUCUAAAACAUUUUGUUAUUGGAUAUGCAGCCCUUUCCAUGAAUCAUCAAGUGAUUAGAACCCUCCCACCCCGCAACAAUCAUUCAUCUCGCGACUAAUUUUUCAUGGUGAUAUCUUAGCACGCGUUUUCACACAUCACCCCCCGUGGAGACUAUGCAUGUCCAUGUAAUAAAAUCAUAAUAUACAUAGCGACUAGAUUUUCUUCCAUUUAUUUAUCUUGUAAUUUGAAGCUGCAGCCUCUAGCAGAAGUCCAGUCGAAGAUUUUGAGCAAGUUCUAGAGAAGAAAAGAAAAGAGAAGAAAACUCGGCACGGGCAUAGUAGGAGGCGCCGCCCUAAAGCUUGGUGCAGCACCCAGGCCCUUCGUGGGAAUUUGGAAGUUAACGAUUUUUAACUGGGUCCCACUUAAAGAGAAUAGACUUCUGGCCCCGCAAACAAAUGAAGGCCUGCACUGGUUCUAGUCUACUACAAUACAAUUAUAAGUUGUGUCGUUGUCCCAUGCUAGCAUUUGUUUAGGUGCGUGAAUUAAUGGUAUUUACUUUUUAUGACUGAAAUACCCUUUGAAAAUGAAUAAAUGUUCUUGUAAAGCAGGGACCGAUUUGGAAGUCAAGCAGAGAGAGG